CUUUGAGUUGUGAUUUCAAGAAGACCAAGAAAACUUAUGUACAUGAUGAACGCUAAGCUCCCGUGGACUGUGGUCUGACACCAGGUUUUGCAAGAAAGAAGCUGCUUGUUUCUUAGGCAGGUGGCUCCCUGUGCUGCAGUUGGAGAGCGUCAAUCAUCACUGACAACCUGCAAUACCCAGGCCUGGGUGUCUCCUCCAGCUAUCACUGUCUGAGACUUUUAAAAGGGAUGCGUAGUCCUCUUAGGUCUCGUUUCGUGCAUUCCACACGUAAGUGGAAAAGUUUAUCCGCACUGACAUGAAGAGCCUCAUUCAGCUGGAACUUUUUGUUUUUCUACAACAAAUAAUCCUUUCUUUCUAUUUUGCAAUGCUUGGGCUCAUCUACAAAUUCUUGGACUCUUUCUUAGACAUGCAUAGUCCAG
rnacentral:lncRNA from 1 species